rnacentral:rRNA from 1 species
AGAGUUUGAUCCUGGCUCAGGAUGAACGCUGGCGGUCUGCUUAACACAUGCAAGUCGAACGGGCUUUAUGAGCUUGCUCAUAAAGUUAGUGGCGGACGGGUGAGUAACGCGUGAGAAUCUACCUGGAGGACGGAGAUAACAGAGGGAAACCGCUGCUAAUCCCCGAUGAGCCAGAAAAUCUGGUCAAAGAUGUAUCGCCCCCAGAAGAGCUCGCGUCCGAUUAGUUAGUUGGUGGGGUAAAAGCCUACCAAGACAGCGAUCGGUAGCCGGUCUGAGAGGACAAUCGGCCACACUGGGACUGAGACACGGCCCAGACUCCUACGGGAGGCAGCAGUGGGGAAUUUUCCGCAAUGGGGGCAACCCUGACGGAGCAAGACCGCGUGGGGGAGGAAUGCCUUAGGGUUGUAAACCCCUUUUAUCUGGGAAGAAAAUACUGACGGUACCAGAUGAAUCAGCCUCGGCUAACUCCGUGCCAGCAGCCGCGGUAAUACGGAGGACGCAAGCGUUAUCCGGAUUUAUUGGGCGUAAAGGGUCUGCAGGUGGCGGUUCAAGUCUGC